rnacentral:tRNA from 1 species
GAGGCUGUGGCUGAGCGGUUGAGGCGCCGGAUCAUGCUCCCGGUAUAUAUGGGUUCGAAUCCCAUCAGUCUCC